rnacentral:rRNA from 1 species
AACGAACGUUAGCGGCGCGCUUAACACAUGCAAGUCGCACGAGAAAGGGUCUUCGGACCCCAGUAAAGUGGCGCACGGGUGAGUAACACGUGGGUAACGUACCCUCGGAUGGGGGAUAACGUCCCGAAAGGGACGCUAAUACCGCAUAAGACCACGUCCUGGAAUGGAUGGGGUCAAAGCCGGCUGAUGCAUUGCAAGCUGGUGUCUGAGGAUCGGCCCGCGGCCCAUCAGGUAGUUGGUAGGGUAAUGGCCUACGAAGCCUAAGACGGGUAGCUGGUCUGAGAGGAUGAUCAGCCACACUGGAACUGAGACACGGUCCAGACUCCUACGGGAGGCAGCAGUGGGGAAUCUUGCGCAAUGGGCGAAAGCCUGACGCAGCGACGCCGCGUGAGCGAUGAAGGCCUUAGGGUUGUAAAGCUCUGUGGAGAGGGACGAAUAAGUCGUGGCUAACAUCCACGAUGAUGACGGUACCUCUUUAGCAAGCACCGGCUAACU